rnacentral:tRNA from 1 species
GCCCAGGUAGCUCAGUUGGCUAGAGCGUUUGCCUGAAGAGCAAAAAGUCGUCGGUUCGAGUCCGACCCUGGGCACCA